rnacentral:tRNA from 1 species
GCUCUGGUAGCUCAGUUGGUUAGAGCGUGCGACUGUUAAUCGCGAGGCCGUUGGUUCAAUCCCAACCUGGAGCG